rnacentral:rRNA from 1 species
UGGGGAAUAUUGGACAAUGGGCGCAAGCCUGAUCCAGCAAUGCCGCGUGUGUGAAGAAGGCCUUCGGGUUGUAAAGCACUUUUAUCAGGAGCGAAACGCUGUCGGCUAAUACCCGGCGGAACUGACGGUACCUGAGGAAUAAGCACCGGCUAACUUCGUGCCAGCAGCCGCGGUAAUACGAAGGGUGCAAGCGUUAAUCGGAAUUACUGGGCGUAAAGCGUGCGUAGGCGGUUUCUUAAGUCUGCUGUGAAAUCCCCGGGCUCAACCUGGGAAUGGCAGUGGAUACUGGGAGGCUAGAGUGUGUCAGAGGGUGGUGGAAUUCCCGGUGUAGCGGUGAAAUGCGUAGAGAUCGGGAGGAACAUCGGUGGCGAAGGCGGCCACCUGGGACAACACUGACGCUGAGGCACGAAAAGCGUGGGGAGCAAACAGGAUUAGAUACCCUGGUAGUCCACGCCCUAAACGAUGCGAACUGGAUGUUGGUCUCAACUCGGAGAUCAGUGUCGAAGCUAACGCGUUAAGUUCGCCGCCUGGGGAGUACGGUCGCAAGACUGAAACUCAAAUGAAUUGACGGGGUCAUAGCUGUUUCCUG